ACGCGGAAUUGGAGCAGAAGGUGAAGGCGGAGAACCCGCGGGUCUUGUGAACGGCAGCGACUCGCACACGGCUAUGCUCGUCCUCCGUCAGAAUGGUGGAGGGACAGACUUACGUGAAACUCAGUGAGGAGAAGUUAAUACCAAAGUCCGACGUCUUGUUACUGCUCAGGACGUACAACUGUUACCACGAAGGAAAAAACUUCCAGCUGAGGACCCGCCAGG